rnacentral:rRNA from 1 species
GACGAACCGUGCAAACGUUGUUCGGAAUCACUGGGCUUAAAGGGCGCGUAGGCGGGCUCUCAAGUCGGGGGUGAAAUCGUUCGGCCCAACCGGACAAGGGCUUCCGAUACUGAGAGUCUCGAGGGAGGUAGGGGUCGAGGGAACUGGUGGUGGAGCGGUGAAAUGCGUAGAUAUCACUAGGAACGCCGGUGGCGAAGGCGCUCGACUGGACCUCUUCUGACGCUGAGGCGCGAAAGCCAGGGGAGCAAACGGG